GGCAAGGUGGCCGAGCGGUUAAGGCGCUAGUUUUAGGUUGAUUCAAAUCUGAUCACUAGUUUCUCUGAUUCAUGGGUUCGAAUCCCAUCCUUGUCA